UACUUGCUGAACGUAGGUCAUUUUCAAUCCAGAGCACUGGCUCAUAUGUUUGAAGAAUUGAAGGAGAAAAAAAAGUGGAAUAUGCGUGCAGUGUGGAGAAAAAUAUCAAUAUCACAGACAAGAAAACGUUGUCCCGAUAGGGGGCGCCACAGUGCGUCAUCUUUUUCCAUGUGAGCAAGAAGAAGCUGUAAGUGUGCAUGCAGCGUGCUGCGACACCAUAACAAGAAGCAUUUGGUCGGAGAGGCAAGAAGAAGCAAUUCUAACUUUUCUUUCUAUGUUUGUACGCCC